GCCCCGUAUUUAGGGGCUUAUCAACGGAUAGAACGAGCGCCUCCUAAGCGCUAGAUACAGGUUCGAUUCCUGUCGGAGGCA
rnacentral:tRNA from 1 species